rnacentral:rRNA from 1 species
UACGUAGGGGGCAAGCGUUGUCCGGAUUUAUUGGGCGUAAAGAGCGUGUAGGCGGCCUGGUAGGUCAGCUGUGAAAACUCGAGGCUCAACCUCGAGACGUCGGUUGAAACCACCUGGCUAGAGUCCGGAAGAGGAGAGUGGAAUUCCCGGUGUAGCGGUGAAAUGCGCAGAUAUCGGGAAGAACACCCGUGGCGAAGGCGGUUCUCUGGGACGGUACUGACGCUGAGACGCGAAAGCGUGGGGAGCAAACAGG